rnacentral:rRNA from 1 species
GUGGGGAAUAUUGCGCAAUGGCCGAAAGGCUGACGCAGCGACGCCGCGUGGGGGAUGAAGCAUUUCGGUGUGUAAACCCCUGUUGCUCGGGACGAACAACUGGAUUCUUCCAGUCUGACGGUACCGGGUGAGGAAGCACCGGCUAACUCCGUGCCAGCAGCCGCGGUAAUACGGAGGGUGCGAGCGUUGUCCGGAAUCACUGGGCGUAAAGGGCGCGUAGGUGGUCUGCUAAGCGUGUGGUGAAAGCUCGGGGCUCAACCCCGAGUCUGCCAUGCGAACUGGUGGACUUGAGCACUGUAGAGGCAGGUGGAAUUCCGGGUGUAGCGGUGGAAUGCGUAGAGAUCCGGAAGAACACCGGUGGCGAAGGCGGCCUGCUGGGCAGUUGCUGACACUGAGGCGCGACAGCGUGGGGAGCAAACAGGAUUAGAAACCCCAGUAGUCC